rnacentral:lncRNA from 1 species
GCUGGAAGCAGACACAUGCAAAGAGGGGAAGCCAGGGGAGCAUCCUGGCUUUAUAACAACCCACUUUCGCAGGAACUAAUCAUUCCUAUGAGAACCAGUUCAGUUUCUUGAGAGCGAGAAUGGACUAACUUGAGAAUACCACGAAGCCAUUCAUGAGGCCUGUCCCUAUAACCCAAAUACCUUCCACUAGUCCCCACCUCCCAACACCAGCACACUGAGGAUCAAAUUUCAAUAUGAGCUUUGGUGGAGACAAACAACCAUAUCCAAACCACAGCAGAUGGCAAGUCCAAAAUCUGCAGGGCAGACGAGCAGGCUGGAGAAUAUAGAAAGAGUCAAUGUUGCAGUUCAAGGCUGAAGGCCAUCUGCUGAAAGAAUUUCCUCUUGCUCAGGGGAGGUCAGUCUUUUGUUCUAGUUAGGCCUUCAACUGGUUGGAUAAGGCACACCCACAUUAUGAAGGGCAAUCUGGUUUCCUCAAAGUCCACUAAAUUAAAUAUUAAUUUCAUCUAAAACACCUUCACAGAAACAUCCAGAAUAAUGUUUGACCAGUAUUUGGGCAUUGCAGCUCAGCCAGGUUGACACAAAGUUAACCAUCACAAGACCAUAAGCUGAAAGUUUUACAACCCAAGAGUCCUAUUAGAUUAUGGAUGAGUGCCAGUUACUGGGGGAGUCACUGCACAUAAAGGUCUUCAUAAUAUUGGACCUCGCAAAACCAUGGAUCUACAUCAGAGGAGAGAGAAGGAAACCUGGCAAAGAUGGAAAAAUCAUCAGGUAUACGUGGUGGACUGGAGUUCCAACAACCAGACCUUUGGGGCUGGGGUAAGUUUUUCCUCCUAACUCCUCUGUGUGGGGAACUGAGACAUUUGGCUUCCUGUUAGGAAGUUAAAGCUUGUGGCUGUAGAAGAAGGCCUGACUCUUGGGGAAGCUGCAGAAGUCUUAGAGCUCUGAACAUAGGGCUUUGGACAUGGAGAUUCUUACAUAUGUUCAACAAGUAUCCUUUGUGCCAGGCUCUGUUCUACAUGCUGGCAACAUAGCCUUGAACAAAAGUCACAGAAAUCCCUGCUUUCUUGGAGUUUUCAUGCCACCAGGGGAGACAGACAAUAGACAAUAAGAGUACGUGAAAUACAACAUACAAUAUGCUAAUUACAAGUGAUAAAGAGAAAAAUAAAGCAGGGAAGCGGACUAGCAAAUACUGGGGAACAGAUGUUGUGAUUUCAGAUAAGGUGGCUAAGGAAGGCCUUGACAAGGAAGUAACAUUUGAGUAAAGACCAGAAGCACAAGAGAAGGUGAACAGUGUAGACAUCCGGAGCAAAAGCAUUCUAAGCAGAAGAAUAACUGUAAAGGCCGUUGUUGUGGGUUGAAUUAUUUCCCAUCGCCAAAAGAUAUGUUGAAGUCCUAAGCCCUGGUACAUGUGAAAUGUGACCUUAUUUGAAGACAGGAUCUUUACAGAUCAAGUUAAGAUGAGGUCACUAGGGUGGGCCCUAAUCCAAUAUGACUGGUGUUUUAUGAGAGGACACAGAGACAGAGAGACACAGGGAAAGUGCUGUGGGAUGACAAAAGAGAGAUUUAAGUGAUACAACUGCAAGCCAAGGAAUGCCUAGAGUUGACAGCCACAGCCAGAAUCUCAGAAGAGGCAGGCAAGAGUUCUCUCCUACAGGUUUUAGUGGGAGCAUGGCCCUGGUUAACACCUUGAUUUUGGACUUCUCACCUCCGGAACUGUGAGACAAUAAAUUUCUGUUGUUUUGAGCCACCUAGUUUGUGGUACUUUGCAACGGCAGCCCUAGAAAACUAAUCCAGCCAUGAAAUGGGAAUGUGCCUGGUAUGUUGAAGGAAGAUGGAGGCCAGUGUCGCAUGGGAGGGAGUCAUAAGAGAUUAGAUCAGAGAAGUUACACAACAGAUGGCGAGAUCAUGUGGCACCUUAUGGUCAGAGAUGUGACAUGAUCUGACUUACCCUUUAACGGGCUCACCUAUAGUUAUAACUGUGUGUUAUAUUCAUGGCUGAAGGGAGAUGUAUAGAAGAACCCAGACUAUAUUACGUACACUAGAUAAUCAUAAGAGGUAGGUACCAAAUUGCAUAAAUACUAAAAUCACUGUGCUUAUAAUUAAAUCUUUCAUUUGCUCUUUAGGUAUAUUUUAAUCUGUAAUGUUAAUGUGAAACUAAUUUUUAAAA